rnacentral:rRNA from 1 species
GACGAACGCUGGCGGCGUGCCUAAUACAUGCAAGUCGAACGCAGUGGGGACGGGUGAGUAAAACCUGGGUAACCUCCCAUAUGAGGGGAUAACACGUGGAAACAGGUGCUAAACCGAUACUGAUGGAUGGACUCGCGGUGCAUUAGCUAGUUGGGGAGGUAACGGCUCACCAAGGCCACGAGGCAUAGCCGACCUGAGAGGGUGAUCAGCCACACUGGGACUGAGACACGGCCCAGACUCCUACGGGAGGCAGCAGUAGGGAAUCUUCGGCAAUGGACGAAAGUCUGACCGAGCAACGCCGCGUGAGUGAAGAAGGUUUUCGGAUCGUAAAACUCUUUUGUUAGAGAAGCGGUAUCUAACCAGAAAGCCACGGCUAACUACGUGCCAGCAGCCGCGGUAAUUC